rnacentral:rRNA from 1 species
GAUGAACGCUAGCGGCAGGCCUAAUACAUGCAAGUCGAACGGUGUAGCAAUACACAGUGGCGCACGGGUGCGUAACACGUAUGCAACCUACCUAUUAUUGGGGGAUAGCCUUUGGAAACGGAGAUUAAUACCGCAUAAGAUAGUGACAUGGCAUCAUGUAGCUGUUAAAGCUUUGGCGAUAAUAGAUGGGCAUGCGUCCAAUUAGUUAGUUGGUGAGGUAAUGGCUCACCAAGACGAUGAUUGGUAGGGGAUCUGAGAGGAUAAUCCCCCACACUGGCACUGAGAUACGGGCCAGACUCCUACGGGAGGCAGCAGUAGGGAAUAUUGGGCAAUGGACGGAAGUCUGACCCAGCCAUGCCGCGUGCAGGAUGACGGCGUUAUGCGUUGUAAACUGCUUUUUUAUAGGAAGAAGAAGCCCUUGCGAGGGAAAGUGACGGUACUAUAAGAAUAAGCACCGGCUAACUCCGUGCCAGCAGCCGCCGUAAUAC